UCCUUGGGGUUUGGUUUAAAGCCGCUGACACACGGCCCUGGUGCAACCCAGCUGUUCUCCUGAGCCUCCCCGAGGCAGGUUUGCAAACGAACCUGGUUCAAAUGGGUUUAACUGGGGUGUAGGCCAAGUGUAUAAAUGCACUUAAAUUACCUUCAGACUUCAAAGAGUCAGACUCUUUUCAGUGGUUCCCAGUGAGAGGACGAGGGGCAACGGGCACAAGUUGGAACAUAAGAAGUUCCACUCAAAUAUGAGGAGAAACUUCUUCACGGUGAGGGUGACAGAGCCCUGGAACAGGCUGCCCAGGGAGGGUGUGGAGUCCCCUUCCUUGGAGAUUUUCAAGACCCGCCUUGAUACAGUCCUGAGUAACAUGCUCUAGCUCUAGGCAAUCCUGCUUCAGCAGGGGAGUUGGACUAGAUGAUCUUUAUGGUCCCUUCCAACUCUAAAAUUCAGUGAAAUUCAGUGAAAUUCAGGCACAUUUCUAGUGAUAAAAGUGCUGGUUGUUGCCCCCAAUGAGCGUUUGCCCACCUGCUGCACAAGAGACAUUCACAAACUAGCGCUGCUUGUUCCCCAUAGGAGGAAGCUGGUUCCUUUACGCAGGAAGAUUGAAAGGCGAGAGAAGAGGAGAGAGGUAAUAACACUCCUCCAUGUCAUCUCCUUCCGUUGCUUCUCUUCCACGUGUCUUUCCAUCUCCUGACACAGCUCCUCUUUGCUCCACCAGGAGAAAGCCCUGAUUGCUGCUCAGCUGGACAACGCCAUCGAGAAGGAACUACUGGAAAGACUGAAACAGGACACAUAUGGAGACAUUUACAACUUCCCCAUCCACGCCUUCGACAAAGCUCUACAACAGCAGGAAGCAGAAAGCGAGAGCGAGUCUGAUGCGGAGAAGGAGGAGGAUGAUGAUGAGGUAACACUUUCAGCCACAGCACCACGGCUGAUCCCUCCCUGAGCUGGGUCAGUGCCCCAUCCACCAACACAGGGUAGUGUGAGUGUCAGGAUGAGGAGAACU
rnacentral:lncRNA from 1 species